rnacentral:lncRNA from 1 species
CUGUCUCUCUCUCUCUCUCUCUCUCUCUCAAAAUAUCCUAUUGUGCUAUAAUUCUUUUUCCUUUUCCUUAGUAAAUCAAGAAUUUUCACAUGAAGGAAAUGGCCUCUGGUAUAUCUGAAUUAUCAGCAUCACUAAUCUUGUGUUCUGUGGCCAUUACUGAGUAAUUAAGGAUGAGUUGAGCACAAGCACUGUGAUUCCAUGAUAAAUGCCUACCUGACAACUGAGACAGCAGCUAAGUGGCUAGCGAGGCUAAAUUGCUACAGCAUUGACUUACUUCUUCUAAUGGGCCAUGUCUAACAUCUGUGCAGCUACAAAUGGGGCAUGCUCAUUUAGAGCUUAUGGACCCUGAAAACCAUCAGGACUGCAGAGGGCUCGCUGCCCCGCACAGGGAGGAGAGAAGCAGGCAUGGCUGGAGUGCGAAUAGGUCAACUCACACAGCAGUGGAGACUCAGGGGAUCAUGUCUAACACCCAUAUCUCAAUGCCUGUAAAUACCUCAGUGUCACCUCCACAGGCAGAGUCAACUUUACCUCUGUCUCUCUAUCAUGAAUGCUUCAGGGCACCAAGAAUUUCCAGAGCCACUGGAUGGACCCACUUGGAGCAACUAAACUGAC